rnacentral:rRNA from 1 species
CCUGAGAAACCCGAAAGAUCGAAUGGGGAGAUUCAUCGUCAGCGAUUCUGGUGCGUGUGCGGCUCGCGAUGUCGAUGACUUCGGUCUCCUGGCACGCGUCCGCAUGUUUUUUAUUGCCGGAAUCGUCGGCGUGCACUUCUUCACUAGUAGAACGUCGCGACCCGUUGGGUGUCGGUCUACGGUACGGUAGGGCAGCCUUCCACGUGUUUACACGGGGCAGACCUCCGUUAACCCGACCGACUGCCCGGCGGUACUCGCAAGGUAUUUGGCCGCAGAUAUUCGAACUGCGUCCGGCCCGUUGCAAGCGCGGCAAGUGUUUCCCGGCUGUACGGAUCUGAUGCCGUUACUCACCGGGCCUUGCCAGCUGUUGGUUGACGGUGAUCUCGGACUGGCUAACAAAUUAUGAUACCGGUCGGCGACGCUACCGCUUUGGGUACUUUCAGGACCCGUCUUGAAACACGGACCAAGGAGUCUAACAUGUGCGCGAGUCAUUGGGAGCUAUUAAGCCUAAAGGCGCAAUGAAAGUGAAGAUCGGCCUUGCGCCGAUCGAGGGAGGAUGGGCCGCGUCACGAUGCGGUCUCGCACUCCCGGGGCGUCUCGUUCUCAUUGCGAGAGGAGGCGCACCCAGAGCGUACACGUUGGGACCCGAAAGAUG